UCCCUGGUGGUCCAGUGGUUAGGACUCUGCACUUCUAAUGCAGGAGCCAUGGGUUCAAUCCCUGGUUGGGGAA